AUUGAACGCUGGCGGCAGGCCUAACACAUGCAAGUCGGACGGUAGCACAGAGGAGCUUGCUCCUCGGGUGACGAGUGGCGGACGGGUGAGUAAUGUCUGGGGAUCUGCCCGAUAGAGGGGGAUAACCACUGGAAACGGUGGCUAAUACCGCAUAACGUCGCAAGACCAAAGAGGGGGACCUUCGGGCCUCUCACUAUCGGAUGAACCCAGAUGGGAUUAGCUAGUAGGCGGGGUAACGGCCCACCUAGGCGACGAUCCCUAGCUGGUCUGAGAGGAUGACCAGCCACACUGGAACUGAGACACGGUCCAGACUCCUACGGGAGGCAGCAGUGGGGAAUAUUGCACAAUGGGCGCAAGCCUGAUGCAGCCAUGCCGCGUGUAUGAAGAAGGCCUUCGGGUUGUAAAGUACUUUCAGCGGGGAGGAAGGCGAUGUGGUUAAUAACCGCAUUGAUUGACGUUACCCGCAGAAGAAGCACCGGCUAACUCCGUGCCAGCCGCCGCCGUAA
rnacentral:rRNA from 1 species